GGAUCAGGCAGGGCAGGGUGUGCAGAUCUCACUCAUUCGUGUGACGCAAAUGAGCAACAUUCAAACCCAGCAGCUGGAGACAAUGCAGCGGGAGCCAUUGUCUGAGUGCAGAGAGGUUCACUGAGCGGUACGCGCCUUGGUGACGUGUACAGCAGUGAUACAGCAGUGACCUGGUAGUCUGCAGUCCACAGGUUUAUCUUCAUGUCGUAACAACCUGCUUCCUUGUGCGCCAAUGCCCGGAGAGCUGUUCUCCAGAUGCCCCAAGCUGUCCGCCCUGUGACCCUAAGCAUUUUAUGGUGCUACUCUUUAUGGUGUUUACACAGCUCGGAGAGCAGAGCUCCCUGUCUGAGCAGGGAAGACUCCUUCCUUCUAGCUCUUACAGACACACGUGUGCAGUCUUUUGUUAAAUUUUCAUUGUUCUAACAUGGAGAGAGUUGCUGAAAAAAAACAGGGUAAAUUAUUUCAUAUAUAUUAAUUGGACAAAGAGUAUUUUUUUAAUAAGAAGGUCAGCCUUUAAAGUGAAUCUUUUUACGUAUUUAGCUCAGCCUUAAGCGUAACAUACCCAGAGCAAGAAAGAAUUCCUUUUCUACGGCAGUGAACAGUUCCCUUUAGCAGGCAAAUUAAUGGUUAGAAACUUCCCUGAUGAAAAAAACUCAUGUAGCUCCCCUGUGUGCAGAAUCUCUAGUUUAAACAUGUGGAAGAGUUCAAAUGGAGAGAAAAUAGGGGAGGGAACCAAACAAACUGAAAUGUUCAGUUUCAGGCAGUUGUAAAUAAUUACUUUGAAUGGGAAAACCAGUAUCAGUAUAGGCAAUGCCAACAAAGGUAGAGAAGCAGUACUCCCUCUUUUAGUUUAUAUUCUCCAAUUCCACAACAGAUUUAACUGCUUAUUUCCACUCUUAAAAUAUAUCUUGGAAAUGGUAAAUGGGUCUUUCAGUUCAACUCAUUUGUUUCUUUACGCACACCAAAAUGUCACUGAUUCGUAAGCACCUCUAGUUCCAGUGCUUUGUUCUGUAUCCAACAAAAGGUAUUAUGAUUGUUUUAUCCUUUCUUUUUUUUUCUUUAACAUCAGGGAAGACAAAGGGACAACCCCCCACACAAUACAGCAACGUGGAGUCUGCAGGAAAACUCAGUAAAGCAAUGUGGAGAAAGAAUACUCCAAAGUGGCAUGAAUUAUACACUGAGAGUGUCACAGCUUCAUUUGUAUUCUUCACUUUACUCAGCAGCAUCCUCAGCACUUACUGUGCCCGUGACAUCACCUGAGAGAAACUUCUAAAGGCUCUGUGGGACAUACACUUGCUAGUAAGACAUUCUGAUGGCAAAAGGUUUGUGCAAGUAUAACUCAGAGUGUAAACUGGUCUGAAGAAUCUGAAUUGUUGUUGAUGAAGCAGAAGUAGAGUUGAGGGUGACAUUGUGAGCUAGAAAAAUAUAUCUUCUUUUAUUCUAAACAGAAAGAAAUCUGGUAUUUGCAUCUGCAGGAGAAUGAACUGGCAGCCCAAAGUGACUUAGUGCUGAAUAACUUUUCCAAUAACUAUCUGAGCUGCAAUGAGAUAAUAACGCACCAGGUCUUUAGAGGGCAAGAGUUGGUGAUUCAGUCUCUGUGUGAUGCAGGUGGCUCCUACUCCACCCACAUAUAAAAGGGGAUGGUGUGGCUCCUGUAAGGACAGAUGAGCCUUUGCGAUUGAGAAGUUUGAAAGCAGUCAAAUUGCAAGAGGCUUAAGGUUCUGUUUUCUGUGAAUCCCCUUUAAAGACAGGAAAGCUUUAGGAAGGGGCCAACUGUGGAAAUUUGGGUGGAAAUGCUGGUGAUAGUGCAGGGUAAGAGCUAGCCUAUUGUAUGAUCAUAUCAACACAUGGACCAGAAUGCAACUUCACACGGCUUUUAAAGUCACAGGGAUGUCAUAUUUGGUGGGUUCUUGUUGGGGAUGAGGGUGUUGCAGAGAUGGCUGCAGGCUGCCAAGUUGUACAAUUCUACUUAGAUGGCUUCAUAUCAAGAAAUAGUAAUGAAUGAGUAAACUUACUGUACUGAGCAGCCCACUAAACUGUACAGAGUAGCAAAACUAGCUCCCUCUUUUGGUCUGCUGGAAAUAAUGAAGAGAAACAAGUUCUAUAGUUGCAUAAGAACAACUUGACUUUCUUACACAAGAACAAAUUGUCUAUUGCUUCCCUAAGUAAUCACCUUUCCUAAGCAAGUUGUGUUUGUUACCUGCCAUUUUGUCUGGUCACUAAUAAAUGGUUGGCGUGCACAGA